UAAAGCAGUUUACAGAUAGAUAGAUAGACGAUAGAAAAAAAUGGCUCUCUGUCCCCCCAAGGGCUCAAAAUCUUAAAAAGAAACAUAAGACAGACAGCAGCAACAGCCACUAGAGGGAUACUGUGCUGGGGAUGGAGAAGGCCAUUUGCUCUCAAAAAAGGGAAUCGCCACUAUAACAGAAGAGAAUCAGCACUAUACUAUUUUGUUCACAUUGUCUUGUUGUAGGCAACCACAUUGCCUUGUGGUUGUCAGUUUGGGGGUGGAUUCCACAAAAAGAGGGAGAACCUGAAGUCAAAACACCUGUCUUUUCCAUCUCUUACAGACCAGCCUACUCCCUGUUGCUACAAUUAUGCAACCACAGAGCAACUAAGGACAUACGAGCACCAUUUGAAGAGUUAUUUCUUCACCAGCUGCCCCCAGAAAUCUGUAGUAUUUAUCACCGAGAGAAACCGAGCAACCUGUGCUGACCCAGAAGACAACUAUGUCAAGGAACUAAUGGGAAAACUGUCACCCCCUUAAGAAGUGGCUCUUCCAUCACUCUGGUGUCUACAGAAGAGUUAUUGCCAAGAAAAGCUACACCGGACCUCAACAUCAUCACUUCCUUGAUUCAAUGGAAGGAAGUUGCUUUCCAUUGAACUUCCUUUCCUUCUGCAAGGUCUGACACGUCUAGCUGUCAGAUCUUGGAGAAGUCCCAGGCAAAGAGAUUCCAUGGCCCACAGGGCAGAGAUUAUUUAAAAGCACUUUUCUCAAGCCAUCACAUUGACUGCCUUAAGUGGUAAAUAAAAAGUGAUCUGAGGAUUGCAGUUUUCCUCUCUCAGCUACAUCCGCUUGCUUGAUACAAAACAAUUUCCACGGUUUUGGAAAUGGUUCAUGAAGAAGAAGAAAAGAACUAUUUUCUAAUGGCUAUAAAAAAAAAAUUGGAAAGUGUAUCAAGCAAGCUGUUUUCCUAUGUAACUGCAGGCUAGAUGCAUUGUUAGGCCAAAGUGUUUGUAGCUGUGAGGAAUUUUCCACCCCGUAUUCUGAGAGUUUGAAUUCCGUUUUGGAUUUUAGACUUAGGAAUUUCCCACAGAAAUAUUUUUAGGUGAACAAACAUUGUAGGCUUCUACUAGAUUCGUGAACAAAUAGUCCUUUGGCCUGCAAAGCUCCUCUUAGGACUAGUAUGCAUAAGCCAAAGCGGGGGAAAGUACUUUUGAGAUCUAUUAUUUUUUCAGGAACUAACACCUUUUUCUUUGCAUUACCCAAUUAAGCUGCUUCAGGAAUCAUUCACAAAUCCUUCGAAACUACAGAGGAGUAAGGAUUGCUUGGAAAUGAUCCUCAACAUCUCCACAAACUAUAGUUCCCAGAGGAUUUAGGAGAAAGCCAGGCCUAAGUGGUAAAAACUGAUAAAAAGGUGUAGUUUAGAUCUACCCAAACAGACAAAAAAUGUGCUGAAGAGUUUAGCUGGGAAGACUUGAAUGUAAUCUGAAAUUUGCAACAAAACCUUUUUGUGCCCUUGAGUCAGUGUUGACUCCUGGCGACCCCAGAGCCCUUUAGUAGAAUACAGGAGGGGUUGACCAUUGCCUCCUCCCAUGCAGUACAAGAUUAUGCCUUUCAGCACCUUCUGAUAUCGCUGCUGCCCGAUUUAGGUGUUACUAGUUGGGAUUCAAAUCAGCAACCUCUUACUCACUAGGCAAGUCAUUUCCCAAACGUAGCCAAAUAGAAUUCCCGGCACGUACAAACUCCUGUGAAUCUAGUUCCAUAUCCCUUUACAUAUUUAAGAAGCAGGUUCUUUGCUUUGUCCUCUAGAUGAACGAGCCCAUGAGAUGUAACUUAUUGCUAUUCUAAUUUAUACUGUGUUAUUUUAAGGUGUAGUCUGUAUGCUAUUUAUCAUAGCCUGUCUGCAGGCCAGAAGUUCUUCUUCUCUCUCAGUGGCUUCCAAAAAUAAAAAUGUCCUUUGAUUUA